GACCUCGUAGCUCAGUUGGAUAGAGCACAUGCCUUCUAAGCCUGUGGUCGCAGGUUCGAAUCCUGCCGGGGUCGCCA
rnacentral:tRNA from 1 species